rnacentral:tRNA from 1 species
ACCUGGGUGGCUCAGUCUGUUGAGCGUCUGACUUCGGCUCAGGUCAUGAUCUUGCAGCUUGUAGGUUCGAGCCCUGCUUCAGGCU